AAGUCGUAACAAGGUAUCCGUAGGUGAACCUGCGGAUGGAUCAUUACCAAAGUAUCCUUCCAACGUCUUGUGAACUGUUUUGAACAGUGUCCUGCCAUACUGUACCAUCGCCGCGCUUCAGCUAUUGUAGCAACGCGACCGGUUGCGGCAGGACAGCCAAAAGUACCCUUUACUGAAGUAUCUUUCUAAUUGAAUGAAAGACAACUUUUAGCAAUGGAUCUCUUGGCUCUC
rnacentral:misc_RNA from 1 species